rnacentral:rRNA from 1 species
UAACGAGUUUUGAAAGGGGUUGUAGCUGGCCUUUCACGAGGCAUGUGCACACCCUGCUCUUCCACUCUCAACCUCUGUGCACUAUUGUAGGCUUGGUGAAAGGCGUUGACUCGCAAGGGUCAGCUGCCGGAAGCCUUGUCUAUGUUUCACUACAAACGCUUCAGUUAUAGAAUGUAACACUUGCGGAUAACGCAUUUAUAUACAACUUUCAGCAACGGUCCCUUGGCUCUCGCAUCGAUGAAGAACGCAGCGAAAUGCGAUAAGGAAUGUGAAUUGCAGAACUCAGCGAAUCAUCGAAUCUUUGAACGCACCUUGCGCUCCCUGGUAUUCCGGGGAGCACGCCUGUUUGAGUGUCAUGGUAUUCUCAACCUUCGUAACUUUUUGUUAUCGAAGGCUUGGACUUGGAGGUCGUGCUGGCUCUCGUUAGUCGGCUCCUCUUAAAUGCAUUAGCGUGAACGUUUACGGAUCGCUAUCAGUGUGAUAAUUAUCUGCGCUGUUAGUGUUGAAGUAUGGCAUAGUGUCUCGCUUCUAACCGUCCUUCAGUUGGACAACAACACCUGACAUCUGACCUCAAAUCAGGCGGGACUACCCGCUGAACUUAAGCAUAUCAAUAAGCGGAGGAAAAGAAACUAACAAGGAUUCCCCUAGUAACUGCGAGUGAAGCGGGAAAAGCUCAAAUUUAAAAUCUGGCAGUCUUCAUUGUCCGAGUUGUAGUCUGGAGAAGCGUCUUCCGCGCUGGACCGUGUACAAGUCUCCUGGAACGGAGCGUCAUA